rnacentral:lncRNA from 1 species
CAAGCCAAGCCAAGCCAAGCCAGUCCCUAAGCAUAGUCCAUGCCAAGACAGUCCUGUGUACCAAACGAGCGCUCCUUUGGUAUAUGGUAUUAGAUUCUGGAUAUAAGUAAAUAGUUUAUGUCAGAUAUUUGGUGUUAGUUUGUAUUAUUUAAUUGUCUGACUAUUUUAAAAUGGGUUGAGCUUUUAAUACACACACUAGGGAUGAGCG